UACGGGGGGGGCAAGCGUUGUUCGGAAUUACUGGGCGUAGAGCGUGCGCAGGCGGUUUUGUAAGCCAGAUGUGAAAUCCCCGGGCUUAACCUGGGAAUGGCAUUUGGGACUGCAAGGCUUGAGUGCGGCAGAGGAGACUGGAAUUCCUGGUGUAGCAGUGAAAUGCGUAGAUAUCGGGAGGAACAUCUGUGGCGAAGGCGACACCCUGGACCAGCACUGACACUGAGGCACGAAAGCGUGGGGAGCAAACAGG
rnacentral:rRNA from 1 species